GCCAUAUGAUAUUCCAUAAAGAACUAGUCCUCGAAUGAACAGCAUCAGACAUGACAAACACUGUGAUCGACAUGAGAGACAGCAGCCUCUCCUGCACCAUGGAGAAGUCUCUACUUCCAGAGGUUUCCAGUCAACUUCAGAAUCUUCAUCAGAGAAGUAAAACACAGUUUCACAUUUUAAGGGGAACAGUGUGAUAAACAGCAACAUCCCUCAUCACCAUGACAACAGCUUUGCCUCCAGAGACUUCAAGUCCAGUCAUCCGAUUUCAUCAGAAAUGUAAAAAACUCAUUUUUAGGUUUUAUGGUUUCCAAAAUAUCGUUGGUCAUCAUUAGACCAUGCUUCAAAUUAUGUCAGCAUAUUUGAAAAGGAAUUUUAAGGACAAAGUUUUUCGUUCAAAUAUUGUUUAAGAUCCAGCAUCAUGAUAUAAAAGCAAACAGAUUUUUUAAAUUCUUCUAUAAAAAGGACAGUUUCAGUCAGUGCUGCAUUUUUGAAAGGUCGAUGAUGAUGUGACCUAACAUAUUUUUAUAGCUCC